GACAGAGGGUGCAAACGUUGCUCGGAAUUACUGGGCGUAAAGCGCGUGUAGGCGGUCACGCAAGUCGGGGGUGAAAGCCCGGGGCUCAACCCCGGAACUGCCCUCGAAACUAGGUAGCUAGAAUCUUGGAGAGGCGAGUGGAAUUCCGAGUGUAGAGGUGAAAUUCGUAGAUAUUCGGAAGAACACCAGUGGCGAAGGCGACUCGCUGGACAAGUAUUGACGCUGAGGUGCGAAAGCGUGGGGAGCAAACAGG
rnacentral:rRNA from 1 species